rnacentral:rRNA from 1 species
UACGUAGGGGGCAAGCGUUGUUCGGAAUUAUUGGGCGUAAAGCGCGCGUAGGCGGCCACUUAAGUCGGAUGUGAAAGCCCCUGGCUCAACUGGGGAAGUGCACCCGAAACUGAAUGGCUUGAAUGCAAAAGAGGGUCGCGGAAUUCCCGGUGUAGAGGUGAAAUUCGUAGAUAUCGGGAGGAACACCGGUGGCGAAGGCGGCGACCUGGGUUGACAUUGACGCUGAGGCGCGAAAGCGUGGGGAGCAAACGGG